GACGAACGCUGGCGGCGUGCUUAACACAUGCAAGUCGAACGGGCCUUGUCCCCUUUUUUUGGGGGUGGGGUUAGUGGCGACCGGGUGAGUAACACGUGAGUAACCUGCCCCUCACUUCUGGAUAACCGCUUGAAAGGGUGGCUAAUACGGGGUGUUCUGGCCUGCUCGCAUGGGUGGGUUUGGAAAGAUUCGACCGGUUUUGGUUGUUUUGGUGGGGGAUGGGCUCGCGGCCUAUCAGCUUGUUGGUGGGGUGAUGGCCUGCCAAGGCUUUGACGGGUAGCCGGCCUGAGAGGGUGGGCGGUCACACUGGGACUGAGACACGGCCCAGACUCCUACGGGAGGCAGCAGUGGGGAAUAUUGCACAAUGGGCGCAAGCCUGAUGCAGCGACGCCGCGUGAGGGAUGGAGGCCUUCGGGUUGUGAACCUCUUUCGCCAGUGAAGAAGGUCCUGCUCUUUGUGGUGGGGUUGACGGUAGCUGGGUUAAUGAAGCGCCGGCUAACUACGUG
rnacentral:rRNA from 1 species